rnacentral:lncRNA from 1 species
GGUGGACCCUGUCUCCAUCCCCUCCUAACCUCAUUUAAGGGCUGGCAGCCACAAGGAAAGGGUGCUUCUGUGGAGAUCCCUCCUUUUGGAGUGUUUAGUGAGCCCUGAUCAUUGGAUGGGUGACCACAAGUCUUCUGCAAGUGCUGAAAAGCAGUUUGCUGCCCCUGCAUCACCAGCUGUGCAGACACGUUUAGUACCUGUGCUCGACGGACGAGGCUGAUGGGAUCCGGCCCAAAGGUGUAGGUGGGAGAAUCAUUACAAGAUGAUGUGCUGGGCUCUGCUUUAGAAGCUGGGAUUUAUGUUGGAGCUCUUCCUUCUGACCUGGAGCUGCCUUGCAAGCUGCCAUUGCUCUGACUUUCUCAAUGGAACCUCAUGGGUGGUGAAGUGAGUUGAGAAAAUCCAAACCAAAACUGCUUAAAGGUAAAAAGUCAUCUGGGAACGUUGGUCAGCUGCUGAUAGUAAUUAAAUUCCAGGCUUUUUUAAUCUGAAAAUUGUAGCAAUGUAACUUUAACUUUUCAUAAGCUACGCUCUACAUGCACAUUCAUAAGCCAGUUCCCUUAAGCUCAGCUGAGAUCUCUGUAUUUUACAAGUUAUUAUGGGCAACAGAUUAAUAUUAAAAUUAAUACUGGAAGUAUUAGAAUUGUUUUUUCCUCUCUUCUGAGAAAUAAGAACACCUCUGGUUCUCCUCAUGCACGGAGGAGAACAUGUGUAAAUUCAAACACUUCAGCUGUGUGAUUGAUGUGUUUUAUCUUGGAGCUCUGUGAUCUUCUGUCUUGUCACCAUCUGCACGAAGGUUUCUUUGCAGCUGCCUGGUUUCCUUCAUCCCUGUGGGCUCUGCUGGGGGUGGUUGGAUCCCCUGCCUGGGGUCUGAG